CGUAGGGUGCAAGCGUUAAUCGGAAUUACUGGGCGUAAAGCGUGCGCAGGCGGCUUUGCAAGACAGAUGUGAAAUCCCCGGGCUCAACCUGGGAACUGCAUUUGUGACUGCAUGGCUAGAGUGCGGCAGAGGGGGAUGGAAUUCCGCGUGUAGCAGUGAAAUGCGUAGAUAUGCGGAGGAACACCGAUGGCGAAGGCAAUCCCCUGGGCCUGCACUGACGCUCAUGCACGAAAGCGUGGGGAGCAAACAGGAUUAGAUACCCUGGUAGUCCACGCCCUAAACGAUGUCAACUGGUUGUUGGACGGCUUGCUGUUCAGUAACGAAGCUAACGCGUGAAGUUGACCGCCUGGGGAGUACGGCCGCAAGGUUG
rnacentral:rRNA from 1 species